GACGAACGCUGGCGGCGUGCCUAAUACAUGCAAGUAGAACGCUGAAGGAGGAGCUUGCUCUUCUGGAUGAGUUGCGAACGGGUGAGUAACGCGUAGGUAACCUGCCUGGUAGCGGGGGAUAACUAUUGGAAACGAUAGCUAAUACCGCAUAAGAGUAGAUGUUGCAUGACAUUUACUUAAAAGGUGCAAUUGCAUCACUACCAGAUGGACCUGCGUUGUAUUAGCUAGUUGGUGGGGUAACGGCUUACCAAGGCGACGAUACAUAGCCGACCUGAGAGGGGGAUCGGCCACACUGGGACUGAGACACGGCCCAGACGCCUACGGGAGGCAGCAGUAGGGAAUCUUCGGCAAUGGACGGAAGUCUGACCGAGCAACGCCGCGUGAGUGAAGAAGGGUUUCGGAUCGUAAAGCUCUGUUGUAAGAGAAGAACGAGUGUGAGAGUGGAAAGUUCACACUGUGACGGUAUCUUACCAGAAAGGGACGGCUAACUACGUG
rnacentral:rRNA from 1 species